CUGAGAAGUAACACGGGCAGCUUCAACUUCCCUGACCUCAGCUAAUUCUUUCCUUCCCUCAGCCUACUCAAGAUGAUUAAGCAAAAUACUUGGAAGGAAAUCAAAGCCUUGGAAACGCAAUUAGAAGUGACCAUUUUGUUAAUACACGCGCACACAACCCCAAAGUCAAACCCAAUCCACCAACAGCACCAGACCUUCCUCAGGCUGCAGCACGCCCGCGGGAAGAAAAUCAGUUCCCAGCAGCUCCCACGGGCUUAACGAACAGCCCAAUGCAAAACUCAAGAGGACAACGUCUCCCCCGACGCUGGCGGGAGCAAUGCCUUCCAUACGGCUCGGGUUUUUCCCACCGUUCCUAAAAAAGGAGGUUAGGAAGACCUGAAAUUGCCAAACCUCACACCAGAUACUGGCUCCCGCUCCUGCAGACCUGCAGCUGUCCACAGGACCCCUUUCCUUGCAUCCAUCCCCAACACGAUGCAUUUUUAAGAUUCCCAACCUGAAAUUAAUUUGGAAAAAGAUGGAAAUCUUUCUCUGCAGAGGCAAAGAAAUCAAAUGCACUUUGAAAAGCAGCAGCAGCAGUUAAGCUUCUGGACCCUGCUACAGAAACAAAGACUGACAGACCAGAUUUAGAUAAACACCUACUUCUGCAAAUUUAGGAAGAGGUUUAAUUGCUUCGUCAUUUAGAGCCAGCAACUACCAACUACUAUUGGGAGUACUGCGGGGGAUAGGGGGGGUUAUUAAUUGCAGCAAAAUGUCCACUCUUUUUUGGGCAGCUCAUGUGAAGAAAAACUACGUAUAAAA